rnacentral:rRNA from 1 species
UACGUAGGUGGCAAGCGUUGUCCGGAUUUACUGGGCGUAAAGAGCGCGCAGGCGGUCGGAUAAGUCGAAUGUGAAAGCCCCUGGCUCAACCAGGGAGGGUCAUUCGAUACUGUUCGACUCGAAGGCAGGAGAGGGAAGUGGAAUUCCGGGUGUAGUGGUGAAAUGCGUAGAUAUCCGGAGGAACACCAGUGGCGAAGGCGGCUUUCUGGACAGUAACUGACGCUGAGGCGCGAAAGCUAGGGGAGCAAACAGG